CCUACGGGAGGCAGCAGUGGGGAAUAUUGCACAAUGGGCGCAAGCCUGAUGCAGCCAUGCCGCGUGUAUGAAGAAGGCCUUCGGGUUGUAAAGUACUUUCAGUCAGGAGGAAGGGUGUGAAAUUAAUACUUUCAUGCAUUGACGUUACUGACAGAAGAAGCACCGGCUAACUCCGUGCCAGCAGCCGCGGUAAU
rnacentral:rRNA from 1 species